UUGCUCAUUAAUUAAUGAGCUAAAAUAAAGUGUUUGAUAGUAUUCAUUUCAUACUUUUAUGAGUCAUGUUCUUAAUUUUGUAAAAAUAUAUACUAAAGAAAAUUAGAUUUUUAAAAUAGAAUGUCUGAUUAAAAAUAUCCUGGGGCGCCUGGGUGGCUCCAUCAGUUAAGCUUCCGACUUUGGCUCAGGUCAUUAUCUCACGGUUCCUGGGAUGUGACGGGCUCUGUGCUAACAGCUCAGAGCCUGGAGCCUGCUUGGGGUUCUGUGUCUCCUCCUCUCUCUGCCCCUCCCCUGCUCAUGCUCUCUUUCUCUCUCUCUCAAAAAUGUAUAAACAUUAAAAAAUUAAAAAAAAAAUCUUGAUUGACAAGUGACAGCAUGUUGAGAGUGAACUAUUUACUAGUUGAACAAGUCAUAAUCCCUAUGUUCUUUAGAAAAUUUUUCACACAGUGGGGAUUUAUUCCCAGAAGAAGUCAUUAAUUACUGCAUGGAAAACAUUUCUGUUCCAGACCAGUGUUGAGAAAAGUUACAAACUUUUAGAAUGUUUCCAAAAAUUAUUCACAACAUUCUUGAGGUUACAGAACUACUUACCAUUUCUGGCUGUCCUUGGAGAAGAGACCCAGGAUGAUUCAGCCAAGCCGCAGGCAGACACAGUUUCAUAGAGUCUUUGCUGGUGUUAAAGGGAAGCCCUGACUCCAGGCCUUUUCCAUAGGGAUGUGAUUUGCUUUUAAGAGCCAGACAGAUGCUACAAAUCUUUCUUCCCAAGAAAAAACAUUCUGAGAUUCCUCUCAACAAUUGAACACACCCAAGCUAGGCUGCUGGAGGAAUGUAAGGGACAUGUAGACAGAAUCAGCCACUGACAGCCAGUUAACCCGACAUGCAGGUGAUGUGGGAGGGGGUGUGGACUUUGGGAGGUGGUAAUACCUUUACAAAGAAGGCUCCAGAGAAACACCUUGCCCCUUCUAACAUGCAAGGGCACAGCAAGAAAGCACUGACGAUCAACCAGGAAGAUGGCCCUCAUCAGAAUCUGACCAUGCUGGAGCCUUCAUCUUGGACUUCUCAGCCUGCAGAAUGGUGAAAAAUAAGUUUUUGUGUUUUAUAAGCCACCCAGUCUAUGGUAUUUUGUUAUAGCAGCCCAAAUGGACUAAAAUAUGUGCACUCUUGAAACUAUCACCAAAAUCAAGACAAUGAACAAAUUCAUCACUCCAAAAAAAUAUCCUCAUACUGUUUGUAAUAUCUCUCACUGGACUCAUCCCUGUCCCUCUCAAGUUUCUGGACAACAGUGAUCUGCUUUCUGUCCCCAUAGAUUAGUUUGCAUUUCUUACAAUUUUAUAUCAGUGGACUAAUACAGUAUGUACUCUUUUUUGUCUUUUACUCAGCAUUAUUAUUUUGAGAUUCCUCCAUAUGGUAGUGUGUAUCACUAGUUUAUUCUUUUUUUAUUGCUGUGUAAUAUUCAAUUACGUGGAUAUACCACUUUUGUUUAUCCAUUAACCUAUUGAUGGCAUUUGGGUGGCUUCUAGUUUUUAGCUACUAUAAUAAAGCUGCUACAAAUAUUUAUGUACAAAUCUUUUUUUUUAUGUUUAUUUAUUAUUAUUUUAUUUAUUUACUUAUUUAUUUUUUUGAGAUAGUGCCAGUGGUGGGGAGGAGCAGAGAGGGAGGGAUACAGAAGAUUUGAAGGAGGGCCUGUGUUUACAGCAGAGAGCCUGAUGCAGGGCUCAAACUCACAAACCGUGAGAUCAUGACCUGAGCCAAAGUUGGAGGCUCAACCAGUUGAGCCACUCAGGUGCCCCUCAUGUACAAAUCUUUGCUUUCAUUUCUCUUGGGUGGGAAAGCAAAAAUGAAAUGAUAAAGUGAAAUGGAUGAAUCAUGUGAUAGUGCAUAUUUAGAGAAAUUGCCAAAUUGUUUUCCAAAAUAUUGUACUGUUUUAUAUUGCCACCAGCAGUGACAAUGUCCUCCUUAUCUUCACCAACAUUUGCUAUGGCCAUUCUUUUUAACUUUAGCUAUCUUAGGAAGUAUAAAAUGUGUAGUAUAUCUCAGUGUGGUUUUAAACUUGUAUUUCCCUGAUGACUAAUGACGUUGAGCAUACUUUUUUAUGUACUUAUUUGUCACCUACGUAUUAUCUUUAGUAGGUGAUUGUUCAAAUCUUUUGACUAGUUUUCAAUUAGCUUUUUUCUUAUUGUUGAC